rnacentral:rRNA from 1 species
GAUGAACGCUGGCGGCGUGCCUAAUACAUGCAAGUCGAGCGAACGGACGAGAAGCUUGCUUUUCUGAUGUUAGCGGCGGACGGGUGAGUAACACGUGGAUAACCUACCUAUAAGACUGGGAUAACUUCGGGAAACCGGAGCUAAUACCGGAUAAUAUUUUGAACCGCAUGGUUCAAAAGUGAAAGACGGUCUUGCUGUCACUUAUAGAUGGAUCCGCGCUGCAUUAGCUAGUUGGUAAGGUAACGGCUUACCAAGGCAACGAUGCAUAGCCGACCUGAGAGGGUGAUCGGCCACACUGGAACUGAGACACGGUCCAGACUCCUACGGGAGGCAGCAGUAGGGAAUCUUCCGCAAUGGGCGAAAGCCUGACGGAGCAACGCCGCGUGAGUGAUGAAGGUCUUCGGAUCGUAAAACUCUGUUAUUAGGGAAGAACAUAUGUGUAAGUAACUGUGCACAUCUUGACGGUACCUAAUCAGAAAGCCACGGCUAACUACGUGCCAGCAGCCGCGGUAAUACGUAGGUGGCAAGCGUUAUCCGGAAUUAUUGGGCGUAAAGCGCGCGUAGGCGGUUUUUUAAGUCUGAUGUGAAAGCCCACGGCUCAACCGUGGAGGGUCAUUGGAAACUGGAAAACUUGAGUGCAGAAGAGGAAAGUGGAAUUCCAUGUGUAGCGGUGAAAUGCGCAGAGAUAUGGAGGAACACCAGUGGCGAAGGCGACUUUCUGGUCUGUAACUGACGCUGAUGUGCGAAAGCGUGGGGAUUAAACAGGAUUAGAUACCCUGGUAGUCCACGCCGUAAACGAUGAGUGCUAAGUGUUAGGGGGUUUCCGCCCCUUAGUGCUGCAGCUAACGCAUUAAGCACUCCGCCUGGGGAGUACGACCGCAAGGUUGAAACUCAAAGGAAUUGACGGGGACCCGCACAAGCGGUGGAGCAUGUGGUUUAAUUCGAAGCAACGCGAAGAACCUUACCAAAUCUUGACAUCCUUUGACAACUCUAGAGAUAGAGCUUUCCCCUUCGGGGGACAAAGUGACAGGUGGUGCAUGGUUGUCGUCAGCUCGUGUCGUGAGAUGUUGGGUUAAGUCCCGCAACGAGCGCAACCCUUAAGCUUAGUUGCCAUCAUUAAGUUGGGCACUCUAAGUUGACUGCCGGUGACAAACCGGAGGAAGGUGGGGAUGACGUCAAAUCAUCAUGCCCCUUAUGAUUUGGGCUACACACGUGCUACAAUGGACAAUACAAAGGGCAGCGAAACCGCGAGGUCAAGCAAAUCCCAUAAAGUUGUUCUCAGUUCGGAUUGUAGUCUGCAACUCGACUACAUGAAGCUGGAAUCGCUAGUAAUCGUAGAUCAGCAUGCUACGGUGAAUACGUUCCCGGGUCU